rnacentral:rRNA from 1 species
UACGUAGGGUGCGAGCGUUAUCCGGAUUUAUUGGGUUUAAAGGGUGCGCAGGUUGUUUGAUAAGUCAGUGGUGAAAGUCUGUCGCUUAACGGUAGGAUUGCCAUUGAUACUGUUGGACUUGAAUAUGGAUGAGGUAGGCGGAAUGUGUAGUGUAGCGGUGAAAUGCAUAGAUAUUACACAGAACACCGAUUGCGAAGGCAGCUUACUAAUCCAUCAUUGACGCUGAGGCACGAAAGCGUGGGGAUCAAACAGGA